UACGGAGGGUGCAAGCGUUAUCCGGAUUCAUUGGGCGUAAAGGGUGCGUAGGCGGCGCGGUAAGUCGGGUGUGAAAUCUCGGAGCUUAACUCCGAAACUGCAUUCGAUACUGCCGGUGCUUGAGGACUGGAGAGGAGACUGGAAUUUACGGUGUAGCGGUGAAAUGCGUAGAUAUCGUAAGGAAGACCAGUGGCGAAGGCGGGUCUCUGGACAGUUCCUGACGCUGAGGCACGAAGGUCAGGGGAGCAAACGGG
rnacentral:rRNA from 1 species